UACGUAGGAGGCAAGCGUUGUCCGGAAUCACUGGGCGUAAAGCGCGUGUAGGUGGAAGAGGAAGUCUGCUGUGAAAGCGCCUGGCUUAACCGGGCGAGGUCGGUGGAAACUCCUCAUCUGGAGGGCGGUAGAGGGGGGUGGAAUUCCGGGUGUAGUGGUGAAAUGCGUAGAGAUCCGGAGGAACACCUGUGGCGAAGGCGGCCCCCUGGGCCGCACCUGACGCUGAGACGCGAAAGCGCGGGGAGCAAACAGG
rnacentral:rRNA from 1 species